AUUGAACGCUGGCGGCAUGCUUUACACAUGCAAGUCGAACGGCAGCACAGCAGAGCUUGCUCUGUGGGUGGCGAGUGGCGGACGGGUGAGGAAUACAUGGGAAUCUGCCCAGUCGUGGGGGAUAACGUAGGGAAACGUACGCUAAUACCGCAUGCGCCCUUCGGGGGAAAGCCGGGGACCUUCGGGCCUGGCGCGCUUGGAUGAGCCCAUGUCGGAUUAGCUAGUUGGCGGGGUAAAAGCCCACAAAGGCGACGAUACGUAGCGGGUCUGAGAGGAUGAUCAGCCACACUGGAACUGAGACACGGUCCAGACUCCUACGGGAGGCAGCAGUAGGGAAUAUUGGACAAUGGGCGCAAGCCUGAUCCAGCCAUGCCGCGUGAGUGAAGAAGGCCCUCGGGUUGUAAAGCUCUUUUGUCCGGAAAGAAAAGCAUCCAGUUAAUACCUGGGUGUCCUGACGGUACCGGAAGAAUAAGCGCCGGCUAACUUCGUGCCAGCAGCCGCCGUAACAC
rnacentral:rRNA from 1 species